rnacentral:rRNA from 1 species
AGUGAACGCUGGCGGCAGGCCUAACACAUGCAAGUCGAACGGCAGCACAAAAGAGCUUGCUCUCUGGGUGGCGAGUGGCGGACGGGUGAGGAAUGCAUCGGAAUCUGCCCAUUUGUGGGGGAUAACCUCGGGAAACCGGGACUAAUACCGCAUACGACCUACGGGUGAAAGCAGGGGAUCUUCGGACCUUGCGCAGAUGGAUGAGCCGAUGCCGGAUUAGCUAGUUGGAGGGGUAAAGGCCCACCAAGGCGACGAUCCGUAGCUGGUCUGAGAGGAUGAUCAGCCACACUGGGACUGAGACACGGCCCAGACUCCUACGGGAGGCAGCAGUGGGGAAUAUUGGACAAUGGGCGCAAGCCUGAUCCAGCCAUGCCGCGUGUGUGAAGAAGGCCUUCGGGUUGUAAAGCACUUUUGUUGGGAAAGAAAAGCAGCCGGUUAAUACCCGGUUGUCAUGACGGUACCCAAAGAAUAAGCACCGGCUAACUUCGUG